rnacentral:rRNA from 1 species
UCUUUAAAUAGGGACUAGUAUCAACGGCAUCACGAGGGUUACACUGUCUCCUUUCUCCAAUCAGUGAAACUGAUCUCCCCGUGAAGAAGCGGGGAUAUAACCAUAAGACGAGAAGACCCCAUGGAGCUUUAAAUUUACAGCAACUCAGUUAAACAAUCCCUUGUAAUUUACAGAAUAUGCAUACUAAUUUUAGGUUGGGGUGACCGCGGAGUAAAAAUUAACCUCCACGACGAAAAGAACUAAAUCUUUAUCCAAGAGCUACAACUCUAAGAAUUAGCAUACUAACUAUAAUGACCCGAUAAUCGAUCAACGGACCAAGUUACCCUGGGGAUAACAGCGCAAUCUACUUCGAGAGCCCAUAUCGACAAGUAGGCUUACGACCUCGAUGUUGGAUCAGGGUAUCCUAGUGGUGCAGCCGCUACUAAUGGUC